rnacentral:rRNA from 1 species
UAACACAUGCAAGUCGAGCGGUAACAGAUCCAGCUUGCUGGAUGCUGACGAGCGGCGGCGGGUGAGUAUGCAUAGGAAUCUGCCCGAUAGUGGGGGAUAACCUGGGGAAACCCAGGCUAAUACCGCAUACGUCCUACGGGAGAAAGGGGGCUCCGGCUCCCGCUAUGGGAUGAGCCUAUGUCGGAUUAGCUAGUUGGUGAGGUAACGGCUCACCAAGGCCACGAUCCGUAGCUGGUCUGAGAGGAUGAUCAGCCACAUCGGGACUGAGACACGGCCCGAACUCCUACGGGAGGCAGCAGUGGGGAAUAUUGGACAAUGGGGGAAACCCUGAUCCAGCCAUGCCGCGUGUGUGAAGAAGGCCCUCGGGUUGUAAAGCACUUUCAGCGAGGAAGAACGCCUAGCGGUUAAUACCCGCUAGGAAAGACAUCACUCGCAGAAGAAGCACCGGCUAACUCCGUGCCAGCAGCCGCGGUAAUACGGAGGGUGCAAGCGUUAAUCGGAAUUACUGGGCGUAAAGCGCGCGUAGGUGGCUUGAUAAGCCGGUUGUGAAAGCCCCGGGCUCAACCUGGGAACGGCAUCCGGAGCUGUCAAGCUAGAGUGCAGGAGAGGAAGGUAGAAUUC